rnacentral:rRNA from 1 species
UACGGAGGGGGCUAGCGUUGUUCGGAAUUAUUGGGCGUAAAGGGCGCGUAGGCGGCCUGGCAAGUGGAAGGUGAAAUCCCUCGGCUUAACCGAGGAACUGCCUCCCAAACUGCUUGGCUCGAGACCGGGAGAGGUGAGUGGAAUUCCCAGUGUAGCGGUGAAAUGCGUAGAUAUUGGGAAGAACACCCGUGGCGAAGGCGGUUCUCUGGGACGGUACUGACGCUGAGACGCGAAAGCGUGGGGAGCGAACAGGAUUGAGAUACCC